CAAAGGAAUGGCGGGAGAGAGUUGUGUGUCUAUAUUUGGAGUUCCCUUUGUUCACCUUACUACGACUUUACUACUAGAUUCCUGUCAUUCACCGUGGCCUUGCACGUGGGACACUCCACGCAUGGACUACAGGUAAAUCUAAUUAGAUUUCCUCUCAGGUGCUAAUUAUCACAGUUUGAGGAACCUUUUUACCUUAGGACUGAGUCUUUGAAAGGAUUUCAUUGAAAUAUUGGAUUUACCUUAUUUCAAGAGGAACCAUGUUUUUGGACACAGUUCGAUUCGGAGUUUGUUUACUUGACAGAAAGUCGAUUGCUUUCUUAAAUGGCAUAAAUACACGUCAGGUAUGUCAUAAACAUCAAAAAGGCAUCGGUUAAAACUUUUCAAAAAGUUUUACAAUGAAAUGUACACAGUUUCAGUGAUGAAGCCCAAGAAAAGUUUUCACUUCCGGGUGUUGAUGGGCGUUUCAGUGAUGUAUCGGAAUUUGUGCCAUAUUAUGUGAUCAAGUGAGGUAAUGUGGCGCAAUGUUUUACUUUCACGGAUAUAUGUUAUCGACAACAUGAAUUCAAACCGUUUCAACUCAAGAAAGGAACUUUAUACGGAGUAGCUUAUGACAAGGGAUGCCCUGUCAAUUACGCAUGCAGCGCCAACGCACGUGCUGCGCGCGCUUGACAAUGACCAUUGUUUACAACAGCAGACGACAAAAUGGAGCAACAUGUGCAUAAUGCCGCUAGUGGAUUACCGGUACAAUUAGGAGGAAAUACGCAAUUUCUGAAAUAGUCUUUAGUGAAGGAUUGCAUGGUUAAGAAGUGGACAGAGAUUCUCCAGAUUGGCCUGUCAUACCUGGCACGAUUAUAGCAACUUAAACAGAAAGGAGCUUCCACACUGCUGUUUGAUAAAUGGGAUACCUUCUUUUGACUACUGGUGUCAGUGGAUGAUGCCAAGCAUACCUUGUUACUAGUACAAAAUAGUCAGUCUUUGAUGUAUAUGAAGCUGUCAAAGAUGAAGCACUUGUCAGUAUACGCUGGAGUGGAAGGAAUGUUCUUGUCAAACACUACGUGGAUAAGGAAGCGUCAAGGAUGAGGCCAUAUCAUUUGUGCCAACAGAUAAGAUGACACGUAAGAUACAGCAACAGGUGUGUUGAACAUUACCAUGAGCAAGCUUGUCAGUGUAUGCAUGAAUUUACAAAUGACCACUGGAUAUUCCCAUCUCUCAUGUCGUGGAUAUCAGAACUACAUUGCAGUGGAACAUGAAAUCGAUCCAGGACAAACCAACAUAUUGCACAGAACGUAAUAACUCAUUUGGACAAGCGGAGUACCUACAUUGAUGACUGCUGUAUGCAUGUAGGUAGUGAGAUAUUUACCUACAUACAUUGAACGACAGCACACAUAUUGAUUUCGCAAAGAAAGCGCUGACAGGGGAAAUUUCAGCACUGUUGUGCAAAGGCAGCGCUUACACAAUCUCAGGAGCAUGUAUUUCCCCUUUGGAGGUGUCAAAUACUUAAAUGGAUCUGUGUUACAAGAUGCCAGUGGAAAUCAUGGAAUGUGAUAUGAUCCCCAAAUGUUAUCAAACAUUUUCCUUGGAUAUCUGUGCAGUUUGUUGGAAACGACAGGUAAAUACAGGUAAAGGUAUGAGUUUUUACCGCCAUCCUAUUGGUUCAAAACCUUAUGUAAAGAACAUGGUGUUAGUGCCAUUUUAUUGUCAUCUUAAAAGAUCAUAACAUCAUCUUCAUGGAUUCAUAUGUAUGCAGCCACUGGAUUUUUCUAGACACUUCAGAUUCCCAUUCAAAAGUGCUUUUAUACAUAGAAACAUCAUAGAAACUUUGCUGAGCUGAAGAAUGUUCUAGGACAAUUCGCUACAGUUUAAGAUAUUAUAUUUCUAGUGCCUGACACAACCAAAUACAAGAUGGAUGAUAACGUGGCAUAAUUGGUCAAAACAUACUGGCUUGGUGAUCAGGAAACAGGAAAUUAAGCAUCAGUCCAAUAAAUAGUGGUUUCAAAUGUGGAAUUAGGCACCUGAAGAACAUGUCACAAGAGGAUUAUGUGCAGAAAGUGGAUUAGCUUGACAAAUACCUGUUUUUCCCAUUCAAGCACAAUUGGUGUGUAGUUAUGCUGUGUUUUUUAUGCCAUUGAUUUCAAGGCAGCAGCUGAGUCCUCAAGUGGUUCAAGAGAUUGUGUUAGCAUCUGUAUGAUUGCUGCAUGUACAAGUUGAUACUUACCAUUUGCUACAAAAUUGAAAAGUGAUUUGGAGAAGCACCAACAUCUCAAACUAAUGUGUUUUCAUCGAGUGUGGCAUUUUGACAAUCAUUCAUUCUGAUGUGAGGGUUCAUUCCAUAUGCUUGAUGAGGAACGGAGAUUUCUACUGUGUGAGAUUGAAAAGGAACAAGUUCAAAAUAAUUACAAUGUUCCUUUAACAUGUUCAAGUUCAGGGUGUGUUCCAAUGUUUCUACAAGACAUCAGAGGAGGAAUGGAGAAUUAACCAUCAGCAUAGCACAUAAUGUUCCACUGCGGAAUGUGUGCACAUGAUCAUCCUGGAAUUGUAACAACAAUGGUAUAAGUUUCGUGCUGCCAAAUGGGGGAAAAUGUAUUCUUUAUUGAGUUAUCCCAAUAAGAACAGCCAGUGGAGGUUGUUGUGUUCAUUCAAAGUAUUAGAGACAAGUAUAAGAUCCAAGGAGUGGCUCUCCAGGAAUUGAUGUCAUCCAGCAAAUUGUCACUCUUGCCAAAAGAGUUAAAUGUGCCAAUGAGCUGAAAAUAGUUUUCUCUUUUCCCAUACCUGGAAGUACUCCAGGCAGUUCAUUAUUGCUUUAUCAAGUGAUCCUGUCUUCAUGGAUUGGAUGUAUGUGUUCUUCAUCAUCACGAGAUAUUACAUUGACAAACAUGGAUAGAUAAGAUAAGAUAAGAUAAUAUUUAUUGCAGAAACGUUCCAUUACGGGACAGAUGCAAUUUUAAAAGACAAGACAUUAUGAUUCAUAUAUACAUAUAUACAGAUGGAUUUACAUGGAUAUAUUUUCAUUUCCUUGGAAUUGACUUGAAAUCACUCCUGGUCCUGAAUACUCAAAUAUUUUUCAACCAGAGAAACUUUAUUGUCAGAUUAGUAUGAUCUGAAGAUUUACACAUGUAUGUUUCUAUUACUUGGGGAAAACUUUGUCAAACAUAAAAAAAGCUGUCUGUUGAUUAUUGGCACAGUCCAACAAUCAGUUACAUUUUUGUGUGUAAUAUGUUAUUUUCAUAUUUCCGUUUAAUUAAUAUUUCCUAAAGACAAUCUUGUGUAUUUCAAUAUAGAUAUAAUAAUAAUUGAAAUGUGAUAUAGCUACUAAUAUUGAAGUGCAGAUCUCUCAUUUUGUAUUUAUUAAUCUUUUAAUUGAUAACAGUAAUCUUGGCAAUUGUAAUAACAAAAUUUGUUCACAUUGCUGUUGCUAUUUUAUGUUAAAGUCAUAAAAUAAAUAUGUUUUGAUUUGUAAAAGGUGUAAUGUCUUGUGAUAUAUAUUUGCAUAACAAUAAAGUCAUUCUCUCUGAAUAUUUCAUGAAUCAUAUCCAGUUUAAACAUCAGAUAUUGUUUAACUGUUUAAAUGCCUGCAAUAAAUUCUUUAGUGCAGUUUAUUCUUUUUCAUUACAGACUAGAAUUCUAAACUAUAUGGAAAAUUUGUAUGCCUGUUAUUGUGUAUAAUAAACAUGAGUGAUGGGUAUUGUUUA